UGCCCUUUCGCGGCUUCGCUCACAUCAAUCAUCUCUCACCAUAUGCUUUACUCUAGCCAUUAGUAUUUAUCUAGCUUUUAACGUCGUCUAAAUAUAUAUAUAUAUAUAUGUAUAUACGAGUCAAUGUGUCCGCGUGUGUCAUCUGACGACAGCGUUUGCGCACGCUCUCUAUGUGGGCGGUUUAGUUUGAUCGUCGCUCAUGCAACAAGUUUCACUUUGUCGCGUACUCGGAAAGUCGAGAAGUAGCGUCCGUCCCGAAGUCGAGCGGCGUUUUGAACUUUGUUUUUGUGUGCCUUCGUCCGCGCAAGGUUCGACGCCUGUCAGCUGCCUAUGAGGGAUGAGCAAGCACGCGAAGCCUUGGCUUCUCCAAGGUCCAAUGUUAAGACCCUCCGGGAGCUGUUCAAUGACAAGGAUGCCAAAUCUACACCGCAUGCUACCUCUGUCAAGAGGCCAACUGAGGUUCGGAUUCCUCGCCCAAGUCUUGCACCAAAACCGCCCAACAACCGCAACUGUUCUUUAGGCUCUGUGAAGGAAACAUCCAGCCCUUUUGGUGGUUUCCCGGAAAGCCGGAGAGCAUCCUUCACCAGGGGAGCCUCGUUUGAACAUGUCGGAGUGCUAUCGGGGGUUGAGCCAUCACAGCAAAUGCCAUCUGGAGCUGCACCACCACAACAGGCACUAUCAGGAGCUGUAUCAUCACAACAAUUGCCAGUAGGGGCCGUCCCAUUGCAAGCGCCACCAAGGGCUGUGCCAUCACAACAAGCCUCACCAAGGGCCGUGUCCUCCUCUGACUUCCGCAAAGACUCUUUGCUGCCCAGGGCUGUAGGAGACCACCCUGCCUCUGCGUCUUGUGAGGCUGUGUGUGAAGAAGAGGAGGACUACGUGACACCAAUUACCCUGUCAAAGCCACCAGAGCAUCCUCGUAGAGAGACUGUAGCAUCGUCGCAACCGAAGCACGAGGAAUCGUGCCUGCCAAACCCUGUGGAGGGUUCUUCGCAGAGGACAAAGCCAAAGCUACCCGAGCCCCCUCUGUAUGUGCCAGCGCAGUUUAUGCACCACCCUGUGGCGUCUGGCUGGCUGCGGCGAACACUGCCUGCUGCUACUGCUUGCCCUUCAAAGCCAGCGAGGCCCUCUGGAAUGUGCUUGCCGGUCCACUCUAGUCUACAUCUUGCACACAGCGCAGCCCAGCCAGACAGGCCUUCGUUUGCCUCAAAAAAGCUGUUUGUUGGAGUGCUUUCUGCCGGCCACCCCUGCUUUGGAAAAUGGAAGGUGCUCGGCACCUUUGAGAAUAGACUGCUUGAGAAACAAUGCCGUGUGUCGCAAUCUCGCCGCUUCGGAGACCGGUCACUCAUGUGCCCUGCCGAAGCACUCCUCCUCCUCCUGCUCCACCUACACGAGCCCCACCGCCUCGUCCUUUGGUGCCUAAACCUCUGCGUAUGCUUCCAUCAUUGCCCAUUGCUGCACCAGCAGACGAUGCGUGCUCAGAACCCAGACAGACUACAUCUCCCAUCCCUGAGUAUACGGAGGACGAAGAGCUGGGCAGCCAGGCAGCUGAUGACGAGCCGUAUGCAGACACUGAAGUCAAUGACGAGACACUGCCCCCUCAAGACGACGUGCUUUACGACGAUACUCUGGAAGAUUUCUAUGAGGAAAUGCCCACAGAGGAAAUUGCACCUCCACUGAAGGCACUGGUGCCCAAGAUGGACAAAGAGAAGCAUGACAACAUGUGCAAGAAAUUUGGGCUUCCAAGUGGCUGGCAGCAGCUGCAGCCCGUGGAUGCCGGUUAUGCAAGAAGUAGCAGCACUGGUGGUGGCACCAAGAACCUCGACCUUCCACUGCAGCGUGGCGAGCCUGUGUAUGUGCUUCGAUUUGAGAACAACCCUCCGGGCAAGUGGCUCGUUCGGAACCACCAAGGAGAAGUGGGCUAUGCUGACCUGAUGAACAUAGAGGUAGAUGCUGAAUCCAUCAAAUUUAUUAUGACAAUGCACAGGAGCCCAUGUACAAGUAUGAAGAAGCAGCAAACAAGUGCUAUGGAGUCUGAAGAUGAAGAAGCCAUCUAUGAAGAAACCUUCUAGGCAAUGGAGGCCACUUCACCUGCUGUCUUACAAAAGGAUAAAUAGUAGAUGUGCCUUGUGUCAAAAUAUGAAGUGUUUUACCUACAAUUUCAUCCUGUCUUUUAUUAACUGCUGACACAAAGGUCGAGAGUUUGAUCAAGGUCGGGACUAUUGCAUUUCAGUGGAGGCGAAAUGGUGAGGGCUUGUGUACGGUGAAGCAUCAGUGCUUGUUAAAAGAACACCAGAUGGCCAAAAUUUGCGGAGCCUUUGCUACAGCGUCUCUCAUAAUCACAUAGUGGUUAUGGGAUGUGAAACCGCACAUGUCUUUAUUAUUGUCUUCCCUAUGAGCCUAUUGUUGAGUAAAUUAUGUACUUGGGGACAGAAGAGAGACUGUAGUGCAUGAGCAAUGGGAAGGACCUCGAGCAGCACAUUUUGCGGGUGCAAGUAAGGCCUGCUGGUGUAGGUUUCGGGUGCUCUGUGUGCGCACGUGCCCAAAUUUUGAAAAAGCUUUGGGGAAUGUUUCUGCCCGUAGUUUCAUUUCCGACACUGGACAAGUGCCAAUCGCACUAUUUACAAAUAUACCACCUACGCCGGGGUAUGUGGCCGCAUUGCAAAAAACAAAGAAAGGCUCUAUAUCCCUGUGUUUACAGUUCAUAAAAGCCAACUUCACUCCGCUAUUGCCUGAUGCACAUAGAUUUGGCAACACUUAAAAUCUGGAUUGACAAAGCCUUUCCAAGGUAACGUCCAUGUGCAGUGUCAAUACACACUGAUCUCUAGGGUUUAUAGUAUAACCCUAAGUCCGAGCUUGUAAUCUCAUUCUGUUUAUUCCUGAGGUGCAACUUGGACAACUACAUGUUAUGUGGACACGAGCUGUGCAUUGUGCAGCGUUGCGUUGUGCUCAUUGUGCAGUAUAGAAAAACCACUCGGGUACGGUGGCAUCUUCACAAAUCGCAAUGUGCGCUGCUUUGACUGCUUAGAAGGACUACGUUUGCACCAUGUUAUGCAACGAAUUUCUUGAUAAAGACUGCUCACAGGGCAAAUUUUAUUUGAAGCAGCAGAGCUCAGUUUCGCUUUCAAUUUAUUCAGAAUGUAAAAAAUGCAACAUUGGCAAAGCACUAAAAAAAGUGGCAAGCUGAGGAAGUGCUGAGGACCACAGUCUAUACUUUUUAUAAUUGCUUAUUUCAAUUCAUAUGUUUAAGAACAUCACACUGUUGAGGCACGAAAUUACAGUAAAUGAAGCAAGAAUGCUGGCACUGAAAGUAAAAGAAGAAAUACUGAAAAACUGCUUCGGAAAACGGAAAGCUAUGAAUGACACUAUUUCUCACGUUGAAAACUCUGUGCAAUGCCAGUAAACGAACGCAGCAAGCUAUUGUAAAGAACAGAGCAAAGGGAUGUAAUAAAAAGAAGACAUUGGCUUUUUGGUUGGCAUGAAGUAAAUAGAAACAGAAGAAAAGCACUUUAAACACUUUUUUUAACAAUUGCAAACAAGAAAAGAAUUCAAAGCACCUAAAUAAACUAGCAUGGACCUAAAAAAA
rnacentral:misc_RNA from 1 species